rnacentral:rRNA from 1 species
AUUGAACGCUGGCGGCAUGCCUUACACAUGCAAGUCGAACGGUAACGGGUCUUCGGAUGCUGACGAGUGGCGAACGGGUGAGUAAUACAUCGGAACGUGCCUAGUAGUGGGGGAUAACUACUCGAAAGAGUGGCUAAUACCGCAUGAGAUCUACGGAUGAAAGCAGGGGAUCGCAAGACCUUGUGCUACUAGAGCGGCCGAUGGCAGAUUAGGUAGUUGGUGGGAUAAAAGCUUACCAAGCCGACGAUCUGUAGCUGGUCUGAGAGGACGAUCAGCCACACUGGGACUGAGACACGGCCCAGACUCCUACGGGAGGCAGCAGUGGGGAAUUUUGGACAAUGGGCGCAAGCCUGAUCCAGCAAUGCCGCGUGCAGGAUGAAGGCCUUCGGGUUGUAAACUGCUUUUGUACGGAACGAAAAGCCCUGGGUUAAUACCCUGGGGUCAUGACGGUACCGUAAGAAUAAGCACCGGCUAACUACGUG